GCAGAGGAAGAGUUCUUCUACUGGUUAACUUCUUUAGUUUCCACUCCAUCUACUUGUUUUCCAUGCUAAAAAUUAAAUGAAGGCAUGUAAGAAUGAAGGGACGCCAAGAGUUCGCGUCCCAUGGUGUCGCCCCUUAUUUUCUACAAAUAGGGGACGCUACAACCAGGCUUAACAUAUGAAAUUGGGCUGUAGUUAGGUAUAGAAAUGAAAAAAUAAUAAUAUAAAAAAUUUAAAAAAAAGAUAAGAAAAAAGAGAGAGAAAAAUGGAAAGGA
rnacentral:lncRNA from 1 species